GUGUCCAUAGUCUAAUGGAUAGGACAUAGGUCUUCCAAACCUUUGGCAUAGGAUCGAAUCCUACUAGACACA